CAACAAUCCUAGGUCAAGGAGUCUACCCUGGCCUGCUGUACCAAAAUAGCCACACUGUGGUCUAUGCUUUGGUGGGAGGCUAGAGGAUAUUGGUAUGCCUCCCAUUAUUUCUUUUGAAUACUCUGUCUUAGUCAGUUUUCUGUUGUUAUGGCAGAAUACCUGAGACUUGGUGAUUUAUAAGAAGAGAAGAUGUUUAUGUUGAUAGUGGUUUUAGAAGGCAGAAAAUCUAAGGGCAUGUUGCUGGCAUCUGCUUGGUGAGGGCCUCAGGCUGCCACAGCUUACGGUGGCAAGUGGAAAGGUAUUUCUAUUAUUUUCAAUUGAGAUCUAAAUUGAAACUGAGUAUUUUCUCUACCUACUAGAAGGACUUGCAAGGGACUUCAGUUUUAUAUAUUAUGAUUUGUACAUGCUUCAAACUUUAUUGAUUCACUGAAGAGAUUUUUCUGAUAACUAAACAGAAAAACUGGACACUAAGGAAGCUAAAUUCCAUUCCUCCAAAGCAUCUGGUUCCUCCUAGAAGUUUCCUGACUUCUGUGGGCAAAAUGUGAUGACAAAGGCUCACAGCUACUAAUGUGCCUAACUUGCAAGAAAGAAACUUUGAAAUGACCAGUCUACCUUUUAUUCUUUGUUUCCACUAUCUUCAACAUCUUUUGGUCUAUAAAACCAACUUUCUCUGCUCCGCUCAUUGGAACACAAUCCAUUUUAAGGAUCCCCAUCUUUUAGAAUUUAGAAUAUGUAUCAAGCAUUGGAGGGGAAGAAACUCUUCAAAGAACACCUCCGCAGAAAGAAUCUACUAUAACAGGAAGACAUAAAAAGCAAAGAAGCCACAAGUAGUGGUGUCCACCUGUACUCUACUCCUAGCACUCUGAGAAACUCGGAAGGAGGACACAAGUUUGAGCCAAACCCACGCAACUUAUGCUAGAGCCAGUCUCAGCGUGAUGUUGCUGAGCAAAGAGGAAAGCAGGCUGGUACACUGGCCCACAGCAGCCAAAACUGCAGGCUGCCCCCAGCAGGGAAGAUAUGAAUUUAGGUUAGACAACCCAAGUUACAGAGCCACAGUCCCCACUGAGGACACAGAAAUCUCAUUUAGAAGAACAAGUAUGCAGCUGGCCAAGAGGUUUUGCAACCUGAUGGGGAGGCUGUCAAGUGUGACAAAAGAUCAUCAGCACCAAGCAUGAGUAUGUGAGAAUGACCUACCUCUCUCACUACUUGCAGCUAACUAUGGGACAGUGCAUCACCUGGCUCAGGACACUGAAGACUGCUAACAGUGCCAAACCAUUAUGAAGGAAUAAAUGAUUUCUCCAAAAACCUUUGGCUCAGGGCAUCUAGUGGCUUUGUGCAGCUAGAUUCCUGAAAGCUCACCUUGCUAUCACUUCCAGGAGGUCUUUGUAGUCUCCUGUGGGCUGAAGCAAGGACUCCAGGCUAUCCUCUGAUGAAAGUGAGUUGACAGACUUCACCAACAUAUUAGUGUAAGCUUUUCAGAAUCACACAGAGAUGUGUUCACAUCAAAUCAGUCUCGACAGUGAGUAAUAUGAAUUCAUAACUUGCUUUGUGAAGGCUGAACCAGAAGACCAGAGGCUAUGGGGAAG
ensembl:lncRNA